UGCAUCUUUCAAAAUUACUUCGCAUAUGAAUCAACUCCAAGGCUUUCCUGAGCCAUUUAACCCCACCAAUUAAAGAGCUCCACAGAGAACUAGAAACACAUGUAAUAGAGAGAUUCUCUGAAGCCUCCAACAAGCUCUCAACAUCCUCAAAGGAAGGAGCAGCAUAGCACAAAGAAAGGGCCCUAUUGCACCAUUGCAGCAUAGAACAAGCAUUCUGAAGUUUUGGAAUCUCAAGGAAGUCAAAACCAAGAGAUAGACCAGCUUUUGUG
rnacentral:misc_RNA from 1 species